rnacentral:sRNA from 1 species
CUCCUGCCCUGCAGAGUGUGCUGGAGAGUGACAGUGUGCGAGAGGAUUUGCUACGGAGGGAGCGGGAGCUCAGUGCCCAGAUUGCUGCUGGCAGGGCGGAGGGCUCUGAAGCUGCAGAGCUGGCAGAAAUCUAUGCCAAACUGGAGGAGAUUGAGGCUGACAAGGCACCUGCCAGGGCAUCAGUCAUUCUCGCUGGGCUUGGCUUUACCCCUAAAAUGCAGCAGCAGCCCACCCGGGAGUUCUCAGGUGGCUGGAGGAUGAGGCUGGCCCUGGCCCGGGCCCUCUUUGCUAGGUGAGUCUUCUGGGCCAGUGUAUGAAGCCCUAUGGAAGAUUGGUCUUAGCUCUUGGGAGGUGGCAUGAGUUGCUGACCUAAAACCUCAGGCCAUGUAUUCUUUUUCAUAGGCCAGAUCUUCUGCUGUUAGAUGAACCUACAAACAUGCUGGAUGUCAGGGCCAUCCUGUGGCUGGAGAAUUACCUGCAGACGUGGCCCUCCACCAUCCUAGUCGUCUCCCACGACCGCAACUUCUUGAAUGCCAUCGCCACAGACAUCAUCCACCUGCACAGCCAGCGGCUAGAUGGUUACCGGGGAGACUUUGAGACCUUCAUCAAGAGUAAGCAGGAGCGGCUGCUCAACCAGCAGCGUGAAUAUG